AAUAAGAUGCCUGAUAAAAAGGACUAUUUUGAUAGAAUAGAUCAUGUAUACUCUUAUUA
rnacentral:tRNA from 1 species